GCAGCAGAUCGGUCUGUCGCUCGCUCUGCGAGGAGCGGGAGGAACGUCCGGGCAACGCAGAGCACCGUCCUUCCUAACGGGAAGCUAUCCGCGAGGGUAGAGAUACGUAGAAGAAAAUAACCGCCGCUGACCGCGCUUCGGCUGCGGACGGGGGUAAGGGUGAGAAGGUAGCGUAAGAGACUACCGGAUGCAACGGUGACGUUGCAUGCCGUACGACUGACGGGUUGUAAGAUCAUGUACACCGGCGCAGUAGGGUGGCUCGCCCGAUGCCGGGGGGUAGAUCGCUGGAGCUUUUGCGGUGACGCACAGCCAAGAUAAAUGACAGACGCUCCGUCCACGUGUGGAGGUGAGUACAGAACCCGGCUUAUAGAUCUGCUGCUUUU
rnacentral:RNase_P_RNA from 1 species